rnacentral:rRNA from 1 species
AUGCAUGCGGCACCGAAAGCACGUGCAUGGCUUCCGCCAGAUGGAGAAGCUGUGAAGAUGAAUUGUGAUGGCGCCAUAUCAACGCUGGGCGAGAAGGGAGCGGCUGCCGUGGUUUGCAGAGAUAAAGCAGGGAAGUUUCUUGGAGCAUCAGCAUUAGUUUUUGAGGGCUUGAUCGACCCGGCGAGCUUGGAGGCUCACGCGUGCAGUGAGGCCCUUGCCCUUGCCCGCGACUUGAAUUUGCAGGAGCUGGUAAUCGCAUCAGAUUGCUUAGAAGUGAUCUCCAACAUAAAGCAACAAGCAUCACCAGUGUAUGCGCCGAUUUUGCAGGACAUACACAUUAGCAUGAACCUUUUUACUUCAGUUUUCUUUCGUUUUGAACGUAGAGUAAAUAAUUUCGAGGCCCAUUCGGUUGCAAAAGGAGCUGCGUCUCUGCCGGUGGGCCGCCACGUGUGGCUAGGGAUCCUUCCUGAAAUUGCUUGUAUUCCGGAUGUGAUGAACUUUGAAUAA